CAGUUAUUUAACCAACAUCCUAUGGAUCUUGUUUUCAUAUAUGAUUUGUAUUGAUUUCUUAUGCUUCUGAUAGCAUAUUUGAAUUCGUUUGUUCUCUAACUCACUUAGAUGGUGGGGCAUUUUGUCAUUGCAUGUUCUAUUUGUUAUUUUAUUUAGGCUGAAUGGAAUCAAAUGUGCAAUUUUUUAAAAUGCUAUUACAAAUCAACAAAUUAUGAUAUUCUCCAAGAGAUGAGACCUGUAAAAUUUGAAAAUCAACUAGAUGCACAAUAACGUUAUGACAUUUCAAUACAAGCUCAUUUCUUAUGAUCUUAAGUGGACAUCAUUUCAUGCUUUGGAAUGGACUAUUUUUGAUACCCUGAUUGAGAAAAUAAUAUGCUUUUAGACCUUCAUGGUUGCUUGAUUGAGCAGAAUUUAGUCAUUUAAAUUUGAGUGUAUUGAUUAAGACAACAUUCUGAG
rnacentral:misc_RNA from 1 species